rnacentral:lncRNA from 1 species
CUAAGUUGCCCCAAGAAUGGAAUUUCCUUCAUGUCAAUCCAGUUGUAUUUGGCUUCUGUUCCUGGCGUUGAUUCCUGGAACGCACUGAAAUUGGACCUUCCUCAAGGCAUCUUAUGUUGAGAAUAGAAUCUGACACCUUUGGGUUAGCAUUUAACCAAACUGUUGGGUCCCAAAGAGACUUCUCUCCAACAGUACCACCAAUAGCUAGCACUACCUUGAGGUGUGAACCUGUAUCCAGGAAGUGAAGAGUCCCUGUGAGCACACAACAAGAUGGCAGCCGUCUGCAAGCCAGGAAGAGAGCUCUCAUCAGAAACUGAAUUGGCUGAACCUUGAUCUUUGACUUCUAGCCUCCAGAACGAUUGCAUCCUCUAAAACUACAAAGAGAUUUUGAUAGCAAAUGUAUUAACAUAGAAGGUUACAAACCAGCACAGUUCAAUGUUGUUGGCAGCGUGGUACAGUGUGGAUCCUGGGGCUACAGGUUGGGAUCCUG